rnacentral:rRNA from 1 species
AUGGCUGCAGGUGAUAAUGAAGAUAAUUCAGUAAGGGGGAACAUCAAGGAAUUCAAAGCAUGGCUGGCAAGGCUGGAAACCAUGAAUGCAAAAGAACUAAUGGAGUACGGUAAGGCAAACAAAGAUAUGUUUAGCAGUGAAAUGAGAGCAGCAUUUAAGAAGCUUCUUCAGCAAAAGAAACAACAACCACCCAAGAAGAAAAACAAGAGGACUGGGUUUGGUGCAAUAUUAGGUGCAAUGUUGAAGUUCCACAAGGACGAUGAUGAUGAUGAUGGCGAUGGAAACCCUCCAGGAGGAGCUCCUAUUGCAUGCUGA